rnacentral:rRNA from 1 species
CAGCCGCCACAGGAAUACGAAGGGGGCUAGCGUUGUUCGGAAUUACUGGGCGUAAAGCGCACGUAGGCGGAUAUUUAAGUCAGGGGUGAAAUCCCGCAGCUCAACUGCGGAACUGCCUUUGAUACUGGGUAUCUUGAGUAUGGAAGAGGUUAGUGGAAUUGCGAGUGUAGAGGUGAAAUUCGUAGAUAUUCGCAGGAACACCAGUGGCGAAGGCGGCUUACUGGCUCAUACUGGACGCUGAGGUGCGAAAGCGUGGGGAGCAAACAGGAUUAGAUACCCCCGUAGUCCCUGUCUCUUAUAC